rnacentral:rRNA from 1 species
GACGAACGCUGGCGGCGUGCUUAACACAUGCAAGUCGAACGGAAAGGCCCUGCUUUUGUGGGGUGCUCGAGUGGCGAACGGGUGAGUAACACGUGAGUAACCUGCCCUUGACUUUGGGAUAACUCCAGGAAACUGGGGCUAAUACCGGAUAGGAGCUCCUGCUGCAUGGUGGGGGUUGGAAAGUUUCGGCGGUUGGGGAUGGACUCGCGGCUUAUCAGCUUGUUGGUGGGGUAGUGGCUUACCAAGGCUUUGACGGGUAGCCGGCCUGAGAGGGUGACCGGCCACAUUGGGGCUGAGAUACGGCCCAGACUCCUACGGGAGGCAGCAGUGGGGAAUAUUGCACAAUGGGCGGAAGCCUGAUGCAGCAACGCCGCGUGCGGGAUGACGGCCUUCGGGUUGUAAACCGCUUUCGCCUGUGACGAAGCGUGAGUGACGGUAAUGGGUAAAGAAGCACCGGCUAACUACGUG